rnacentral:rRNA from 1 species
GAUUCGUCACACUAUCAUUAACUGAAUCCAUAGGUUAAUGAGGCGAACCGGGGGAACUGAAACAUCUAAGUACCCCGAGGAAAAGAAAUCAACCGAGAUUCCCCCAGUAGCGGCGAGCGAACGGGGAGGAGCCCAGAGCCUGAAUCAGCAUGUGUGUUAGUGGAAGCGUCUGGAAAGGCGCGCGAUACAGGGUGACAGCCCCGUACACAAAAGCGCAUGUGUUGUGAGCUCGAUGAGUAGGGCGGGACACGUGGUAUCCUGUCUGAAUAUGGGGGGACCAUCCUCCAAGGCUAAAUACUCCUGACUGACCGAUAGUGAACCAGUACCGUGAGGGAAAGGCGAAAAGAACCCCGGCGAGGGGAGUGAAAAAGAACCUGAAACCGUGUACGUACAAGCAGUGGGAGCACAGGUUUACCUGUGUGACUGCGUACCUUUUGUAUAAUGGGUCAGCGACUUAUAUUCUGUAGCAAGGUUAACCGAAUAGGGGAGCCGGAGGGAAACCGAGUCUUAAUUGGGCGUUAAGUUGCAGGGUAUAGACCCGAAACCCGGUGAUCUAGCCAUGGGCAGGUUGAAGGUUGGGUAACACUAACUGGAGGACCGAACCGACUAAUGUUGAAAAAUUAGCGGAUGACCUGUGGCUGGGGGUGAAAGGCCAAUCAAACCGGGAGAUAGCUGGUUCUCCCCGAAAGCUAUUUAGGUAGCGCCUCGUGAAUUCAUCUCCGGGGGUAGAGCACUGUUUCGGCUAGGGGGCCAUCCCGGCUUACCAACCCGAUGCAAACUGCGAAUACCGGAGAAUGUUAUCACGGGAGACACACGGCGGGUGCUAACGUCCGUCGUGAAGAGGGAAACAACCCAGACCGCCAGCUAAGGUCCCAAAGUCAUGGUUAAGUGGGAAACGAUGUGGGAAGGCCCAGACAGCCAGGAUGUUGGCUUAGAAGCAGCCAUCAUUUAAAGAAAGCGUAAUAGCUCACUGGUCGAGUCGGCCUGCGCGGAAGAUGUAACGGGGCUAAACCAU